CAUGUGGGAUCUUCCCGGACCGGGGCACAAACCCGUGUCCUCUGCAUCGGCAGGCGGACUCUCAACCACUGUGCCACCAGGGAAGCCCCACCACUGGCUAUUUUUAGAGAAUUUAAGGUUAGUCACAUUUGCAUGAGGAACACAGAGCCUUUUGAGAAAGAAGAUCUGAAACCACUGAACACUGCUAUUCAGGAUCAGAGCAGAUUUAAAUAAAGAUGCAGUGGCAAGAGAGAGCAACAAGUUCCCUGGAAUUAAAUUAUCUGGAGGAAAAAGGGAGUCUAUGCUGGUGACCAAUGCCCAUAACAAAGACCGAAGUAUUGCUGAGAGAACAAAACUACGUUUUCCACAGUGGAGUUUGGGGACCUCUUAGUACAUAGUCAUCUGAUACUCUACUGUGCUUUGGGAUAUAUUCUAAGCAUACGGGUGUGAAGGAUGAGAGCUGUGACCUCAGAGGCAGACUGUGGAACCUCAAGGCUGUGCAGCCAGGGAGUCUAAACAGGAUGGCGUUACUGCAAGGCGGAGAGAAACGCUUUGUUGCUGACAUGUCAGUAUUGCUGCCCUGUGGCUAUAAGUAGGAAUAGCAAUACUUUAGGUCUCAACCUCUGCUUGUUUCUGAAAGGGGACUGACAACUCUGAAAAACUGGCGUUCCAACACUCAGGGGGAGUGGUAGUGAGUAGCUUCAAGAAGAAAAUACUGUACUUCCUGCUCAUAAGCACAUGGGGAGCUGAAUGAUUAAUUUUAAAAAUAAAAGGGAUAUAAUUUAUUCUCUGGUUUCCUUUUUUCUUCUGGUUUCCUUUUUUUCAGUGACAUUUAAAAACAAUGUCAAAUCAAUAGCAUGAAUCAGGUAUUCACAAGGGUAUAUUGUAUUAUUAUAUUUAAUAAGAUGUUAUAUUAGUAGUAUUUUGCUAAGGACUGUAUGUAAUAACAACAUUUAUUUAUUUCUUCAUCUGCGCAUCUAAAAUUUAGUUAUUGAGUGCUUUAUGUGUGAUGAGCACAGUAGUGAUUAGCAUAGAUAUUACCAAGAGGUAAACUACUUUCAGAGAGAUUACGGUCAAAAUAGCCCAUGAAUUAUCAUUAUUCCCAAUUUUGCAGGCUAGGCAACUGAGUAAAAAGAUAAAAUUCUAAUGGUCAUUCAACUAACAGGGACAAGGAUGAAAAGAGAUAAAUUAGGCAUAUUUGCUACUAAAUCUACUUUUCCUAUUGUAUUGUCUAGGGAUUGAGCUACACUUUUUGACUUCAAUUAGAUAGAUUUGUAGUUUUCUGAAGUUUUUCAUGUUCCAGAUUAUAGAUAUAGAUAGUGCACAUCAAAACCCGUCAUGUAUUGAAUUAGUAAAUACACGUAAAGUUAGUUACUACAAUAAAGGUAUCACAGGAACUUAGCAUAGUAUAAGUUUACUUCUCAUCCACAUCCUGAUUUCAGUGCAUGUGGGCUUUGCUUCAUGUCAACAUUUAGGGACCUAUGCUUCUAUCAGAUGUGGGUAUUCCACAUUACCCUUUGAGACCUCCACAGGUCCUUUUGAAUCUGGCUGUCACACAGUGAAGGGAGAGAAAGUGCAGGAUCUUGUGGGAUGUUUCAGGGGCCAAUCUGGGAGAGAUUUACAUCAUUUUCUCUAUCAUUCCAUUGACCAGAAUCCUCACAUAAAUCUAGCUGCCUAGAGGAGAGGCCAGGUGACUAUUUAUUUCUUAAGAGAAAUGACAAAAGAGAGACUCUCACAUGUAAAACGUUCAUAACCUCUUCCCAAGUGAGACUACCCAAACUCUCAUCUAGUCACUGUAUGCAGCAGAGUCCAAGAUCUACAGGAGUGUGUGGUCAUCUCCAUCCUGAUGUGGUUCCUCUUGGACCAAUCAUCCUCUUUCUCCCAUUACAUAUUUUGCGUACCGCAAAAGAAAAAAAAAUUAAUGUUUUUAUGUAUGUACAUAAUUAAAUUAAAAAGUCAGUGAAAUAAUUACUUUUCUCAGUGUUUUAGACAAUGAAACUGAAAUAUGGGGAGUUUAACUGCUCAAUUCAUACAGCUGGCAAUAGCCCAGCCAGGAUACUAAACCUGGCUUCCACACUUAAAAUCCAAGCCUCUUUACACUGAAAGUGAGUGUCUGGAGGCUCUUUCCCAAGAGUAUAUGGCAUAUUGAUCAAUCUAUCACUCAGUGGAGAGUAGGAAGAAUGAGGCAUAGUGAUCAUUAUAACAUGUUUAUUAUUUGGUGAACUAAGCAAUCCAUUUGGCUAGGAAAAAAAGACUUUGCUGCAAAAGGAAAGUGAAGUGAUGAUACUAAGCAAGGUAGUAUUUUCCCACAACAGGAAAAAAAAUCUCAGAAAUAUCUUCUUGCUGAUACUAGUUGGCUGGAGAAAUGUAGUACAGAACUUCUCAGACUCCUUUUAAGUCAGUAGUGUAUCUGGGAAGUCAAGGAGACUGCUCUCACCUCAGCCGUGAGGAAGCAAGACACAUGGACCCAUAAAUACCCUCCUUUGACUUAAUCUACAGACAAAUCAAUAUUUACUUUUUCAGAAGUAUGUGUCUAAGAAAAGGCUCAGCCUAUUUCUCAAGCAGGACACAGUUCUUAAUUCUAUUAUAAACAUCCAAGUAAAUGUCAUAGAUUCAGUGACUUUGUUGAGGAAAUUCACCAAGGUCUGUUUGUCCCUAGAAUAUUGACUCCUCUAGUCUGCCUUCCCAAUUAUGUCCCAACAACAGUGCCUCCUGACAGACAACAAACUGCAUAAACUCAAAGGCUGAGUAGAAAAUCAUUGCUUGUUUGAAUCAUAUACGGGACUCCUGAUGUCACCAUGGCAGAAUGGCAAGGCAGGUCUCAGGAAUACAUUUAGAUGGUCCUGGGCAGGGGACUGGGUCUGGGGAAGGAUUCAAAUCCCUGCAUUCCAUCCAUUGAACUUCUAUCCCUGAGAUGCAGCUUACCGACGUUCCAGCCAGUGCCUUCUCUUCCUUCUUACCACAGGUGAUGGGGAAUCAAUGGAAAACAUGGAAGUGAUCUAAAAGUGUCCCUUUGCCUCUCUCUCUUAUGAGUCUAAAAUAAAAGAUGGUGAAUUAUUUAAUAAAACAUCUGUAAGAGGCAAACAAGAUGUAGAUCAGUCUCUAGGGCAGACAGUGUCUCAGAGAGACCAGGAGGACCACAGAAACCUCCAGAGGUUCUCCUACCACUUCUCACCAUUCUCACUCCACAAGUUGGAUUGUAGCUUGGCAAUCAAUGUAUAUAUAUGAUAGAGUCGAGGCUAAUUUUUCCGAACAGUAUUCUUUUUCCUCGUAAACACAAAUAAAUUUACAUUUUCAGACAUACCUACAAUUGUGUGAGGCUAUAAGACUAAGCCUGUCCAAGGGAAUGGCAUGCAGCUCUUCCAGGAAUGGCUUUUACCACCUCCUUGAUGCCCUCUGCACUCUAUCCGCCUCCUCUGCUUAGUUGCAGAUAAUCCACUGGAAGACACGAACCCAUGGAAAAUGGUGGAACCACACAGUGGAGGAGGCUAGGACACUGAGUGACUGCAAGGAAGAGAGCUUUCCCCUUCCACAUUGCAUUGGACUGGAAGUUAUUAAAAAAUAUAAAAUUGUUUUGUGUUAAAACACUGACAAAUUGGAAUUGAUUUUUUGAUAGCUGGAAGGUUAUUCUAACUAAGGCUGCAGACAAUGAGAAAAUUGACGUCCAGUGCUAGAAAGAUCACCUAACAAGUUGACCUGUCUACUAAAUGGCAAUUCUAGGGAAAAGGUUGAAAGAAUUCAAAAUAAUUAUGUGUGUUUGAGAUUGUUGAUUUCACUUGACAAGUUAUUAUGAGAAAUAAAUGAGGUUAGCAGAAAAUUAGCUGGUUUUCAAGCAGAAAUGAAUCAUAAUACAUAAAGGCCAUAAAUAUAAAGCCUUGAAGAAUUUUCCUAGUACUUGGGAAGUCAAAGGUUAAGAGAAAGAUUUAGAAUGCCUUUAAGUAACAAAGACUCAUAGAAAGCAUCCCUGAGAAGAGACUACGUUAUGUGGAUAGCUGUCCUACUAAAGUCUGAUAGCCUUAGGUAGACACAAUUAUGUAGAAAAGCAGUGGCAUGGGGAAAGCAAAAAGACAUUAAAAAAAGGAAAAAAAAAUAAAUUUUACCUAAGAAAAUCCUUGUUAAGUUUCGAGAGGGUUCGUUGCCAAAGAAACAUGAGCUAGGCUUUUAAAAAUGCUUUUGAUUAAAAAUUAAAAUAAUUUUUAAUAUUUUACAGACAUGAAGCAGUCUCCAUAUGUAGUAUCUGCAAAAGAAGUCACAUUCUCCAAUGUCUGCUUCAUAUAAGGCAAUGGGGGACAUUGAAGAAGAUUCAGAAGAACCAGUGGCAGUCUGUAAGGGACAAGAACAUGAAGGAGCCAACUAAUGAAAGAAACAUGGGUCUCUAAAUGCUGAUGUGAAACAAAGCCCACAUUCAUUGGAAUGAAGCUGCAAAGAUUUUCACAACAGUUUUUUUUUUUUUGAAUUAUUUUAUUGGUAAGGAUACCGAAGCUCAAAGAGGUCUAAGUGACAUUCUCACGUACAUCUUCCAGUCAAGGCCAGAGCCUGAAUUUAAACCUGUAUCUCAUGACUCAUUGUGCAUUUCUCUUCCCACUAUAUCCUGCUUGGUUUUCAUGAAAUUCAUCAUUUUUAUAGUCAUGGACUUCAGCUUCUGACAUGUGAAUGAAGAGAAUCCCCAUGAGAAAGAAAAGUAUUUAAGGCCCACUGGUGAACUUCAACACUCUUCCUUGAAGAAAAUUAGCAUCAUUCUGCAAAGACCUCUGGCAUAGGAGCCAGAAGAACUGGACUAAAAACUAGCUUCUCACCAUCUGUGUACACACUGGAGCCGCAUGUAGAUGCUGUACAAGCCACAAGAUGGCAGGAGUGGUUUAUGGAACCGCUGACUCAGCUGGGGCCAUCCAGAGGGCACUUUGAGGGAAGAACUUGUAGACCCCAUACAAGGAGGGUUGGAGGUGGGAAACCAAAGUCUCUUUCCCCACUUCUUUUUCCCGAGGGGAGAUGCUAAAAGUAAGUCCCUUUUCUUUCCAUUGUUGACAGCAAAGACAACAAGGUCAUUACUCUUAAAAAAAACAUUGGCUUCUUUGGAGUCUUAGUCUGUAUUCACGUUAACCCAAGAAUGCACACAAGCUAACAAUGCUCUUAGUGUAGGAUGAUGGAAACAGCCCCACACAGCUCCUGGCUCCAAAAACAAGACUGUAUGUUUGAGUAUUUUCAUACAUGUGUAUGUAAGUGUGUUGAAAAAAGGGCAGAGGGAUUAUAAAUAGGGAUUCUCUCUAAGGAAGGUAUGAAGGUAAUGGUGAGGGGUUUUUCACUUUAUAUUCAACAUGUAUGAAGUAUAUCUAUUAUGUUAUAUUUGUAUCAUGGAAUUAUUUAAAGUAUUCAUAGAAAUUUUAAAAGACUCAAUUAUUUACUGGUUACAUGAUCUUAAAAGAUUUUCUCAAAUUAUCAUAUUUUAUUUUUUAUUAGUAAAAAUAAGAUGUAAAGAAUAUGUUUCAUAGAGUUGUAUUGAGGAAUAAUGAAUGUGAAUCUCCUAUUAGUGCUGCAUGUGGCUCACAGUGGCUGCUAAAAUACCACUGCUAAUGGAUUUCUACUAACUAUUAAUUAUCAUUUUGUGCCUAUCGCCCCACAUGCAUGCACGUAUGUAUCAUCUUCUAUCAUGUUGGCCUCAUGCAGUGCUAGAUAGCAAGCACGUGCUUAGCUUAUAUUUGUGAACGAAUGAACACCUACCUUUAAAAACUUCAUCCUCCCUAAAUGUCUAAUCCUAGAUCCUGGUCAUAUAGCCAUAUAUAUUUCGAUAUCCCAAGCACUCUAGCACAGAUUCUACUUCAAAGGCACUUAACAAAUGUUGGUAAAUGAACAUCUGUCUAAUCUGGUUCACAUGACUGACCCAUGAUGUAGGCUUCUUACAGGUCUAUACUAGAUUUGUGAGGGCCACAAGGAAGGCAAAAGUUUCUGAGUAGAUGCUUCUAACAUCCUCAGAGAAGAGUUCCCCUGAAUCCUCACGAGAAUGUGCAAAUUCAACAUUCUACUCCCAAGAACACUUUGGCCUACAGAGGAAAGCCACCACUAGCUCUACUUACAAAACCUCUGAUGUAGAAGAGAGGAGGA